CCCAACAAAGAGGCAGCCUUACACAAACAUGAUGUCACGUUAUCUUCACAUAUACCGACAGUUCCGUUCCGUUUACGUUACACGUCAACAACUACAAACAACAACGAACAACAACCAAACGAGGCACUGACCGGUGACUGCUGCGUCUACUCUCUCAUCACUGAUGAGGGUUUCAGGGCAGAUGCACACCUGCACUCCCCACAGCCAAAAUUGGUAGGUUGUGUCAGCCUGGCCUUAAGUGAGAACAGAGGACAGGAGUCAGCAAAGGAGGCUGCACCAUACGAAGUGACGAACAGAGGCAGCCUAAGUUUGGAUUGAAUUAAAUUCUGGAUAUACUGUUGGUAUAGAUCUGUGAAAACAAAGAUGUGAAGUAAUAAAACAUUAACAGGUGUGUGUAUAACUUGUGAAUUUCCCUCACCUGAAGUCAUUUCAUUAUAAAAUGUGUCAUCAAAGCAUAAAUCACAUUUAUUUUUAAUU